rnacentral:rRNA from 1 species
GACGAACGCUGGCGGCGUGCUUAACACAUGCGAGUCGAACGGAAAGGCCCUGCUUUUGUGGGGUGCCCGAGUGGCGAACGGGUGAGUAACACGUGAGUAACCUGCCCUUGACUUUGGGAUAACUUCAGGAAACUGGGGCUAAUACCGGAUAGGAGCUCCCGCUGCAUGGUGGGGGUUGGAAAGUUUCGGCGGUUGGGGAUGGACUCGCGGCUUAUCAGCUUGUUGGUGGGGUAGUGGCUUACCAAGGCUUUGACGGGUAGCCGGCCUGAGAGGGUGACCGGCCACAUUGGGACUGAGAUACGGCCCAGACUCCUACGGGAGGCAGCAGUGGGGAAUAUUGCACAAUGGGCGGAAGCCUGAUGCAGCAACGCCGCGUGCGGGAUGACGGCCUUCGGGUUGUAAACCGCUUUCGCCUGUGACGAAGCGUGAGUGACGGUAAUGGGUAAAGAAGCACCGGCUAACUACGUG